GCGGUAGUAGUUCAGUUGGCUAGAACGUCUCGUUGCCAACGAGAAGGUCGCCGGUUCGAAUCCGGUCUACCGCU
rnacentral:tRNA from 1 species